rnacentral:rRNA from 1 species
UGGGCGGCAGCCUACACAUGCAGUCGAGCGGUAGAGAGAAGCUUGCUUCUCUUGAGAGCGGCGGACGGGUGAGUAAUGCCUAGGAAUCUGCCUGGUAGUGGGGGAUAACGUUCGGAAACGGACGCUAAUACCGCAUACGUCCUACGGGAGAAAGCAGGGGACCUUCGGGCCUUGCGCUAUCAGAUGAGCCUAGGUCGGAUUAGCUAGUUGGUGAGGUAAUGGCUCACCAAGGCGACGAUCCGUAACUGGUCUGAGAGGAUGAUCAGUCACACUGGAACUGAGACACGGUCCAGACUCCUACGGGAGGCAGCAGUGGGGAAUAUUGGACAAUGGGCGAAAGCCUGAUCCAGCCAUGCCGCGUGUGUGAAGAAGGUCUUCGGAUUGUAAAGCACUUUAAGUUGGGAGGAAGGGUUGUAGAUUAAUACUCUGCAAUUUUGACGUUACCGACAGAAUAAGCACCGGCUAACUCUGUGCCAGCAGCCGCGGUAAUACAGAGGGUGCAAGCGUUAAUCGGAAUUACUGGGCGUAAAGCGCGCGUAGGUGGUUUGUUAAGUUGGAUGUGAAAUCCCCGGGCUCAACCUGGGAACUGCAUUCAAAACUGACUGACUAGAGUAUGGUAGAGGGUGGUGGAAUUUCCUGUGUAGCGGUGAAAUGCGUAGAUAUAGGAAGGAACACCAGUGGCGAAGGCGACCACCUGGACUAAUACUGACACUGAGGUGCGAAAGCGUGGGGAGCAAACAGGAUUAGAUACCCUGGUAGUCCACGCCGUAAACGAUGUCAACUAGCCGUUGGAAGCCUUGAGCUUUUAGUGGCGCAGCUAACGCAUUAAGUUGACCGCCUGGGGAGUACGGCCGCAAGGUUAAAACUCAAAUGAAUUGACGGGGGCCCGCACAAGCGGUGGAGCAUGUGGUUUAAUUCGAAGCAACGCGAAGAAUCUUACCAGGCCUUGACAUCCAAUGAACUUUCUAGAGAUAGAUUGGUGCCCUUCGGGAACAUUGAGACAGGUGCUGCAUGGCUGUCGUCAGCUCGUGUC